GAGUUUGAUUCUGGCUCAGAGUGAACGCUGGCGGCGUGCCUAAUACAUGCAAGUCGAACGGACAAGUAAGAGCUUGCUCUUAUGAGUUAGUGGCGCACGGGUGAGUAAUGUAUAGCUAAUCUGCCCUACACUAGAGGACAACAGUUGGAAACGACUGCUAAUACUCUAUACUCCUUCUUUACAUAAGUUGAGUCGGGAAAGUUUUUCGGUGUAGGAUGAGGCUAUAUCGUAUCAGCUAGUUGGUGAGGUAAUGGCUUACCAAGGCUAUGACGCGUAACUGGUCUGAGAGGAUGAUCAGUCACACUGGAACUGAGACACGGUCCAGACUCCUACGGGAGGCAGCAGUAGGGAAUAUUGCUCAAUGGGGGAAACCCUGAAGCAGCAACGCCGCGUGGAGGAUGACACUUUUCGGAGCGUAAACUCCUUUUCUUGGGAAAGAAUUAUGACG
rnacentral:rRNA from 1 species